rnacentral:rRNA from 1 species
UACAGCGGGUGCAAGCGUUGCUCGGAUUUACUGGGCGUAAAGCGUACGCAGACGGUGAGAAAGGUCGGGUGUGAAAGCCCCGGGCUCAACCCGGGAACUGCAUCCGAAACCAUCUCGCUAGAGUAUGAGAGAGGGAAGCGGAAUUCCUGGUGUAGAGGUGAAAUUCGUAGAUAUCAGGAGGAACAUCUGCGGCGAAGGCGGCUUCCUGGCUCAUUACUGACGUUCAGGUACGAAAGCGUGGGUAGCAAACAGG